rnacentral:rRNA from 1 species
GACAGAGGUGCCAAGCGUUAGGCGGAAUCACUGGGCUUAAAGCGUGUGUAGGCGGAUUUUUAAGUACCUUGUGAAAUCCCACAGCUCAACUGUGGAACUGCUCGGUAUACUGGGAAUCUUGAGCCACUUAGGGGCUGUCGGAACAAACGGUGGAGCGGUGAAAUGCGUAGAUAUCUGGAGGAAUACCGGUGGCGAAGGCGGCAUCCUGGACCGACAUUGACGCUGAGGCGCGAAAGCUAGGGGAGCAAACGGG